rnacentral:rRNA from 1 species
GGAAUCGCUAGUAAUCGCAGGUCAGAAUACUGCGGUGAAUACGUUCCCGGGUCUUGUACACACCGCCCGUCACACCAUGGGAGUGGGUUGCUCCAGAAGUAGAUAGCUUAACGAAUGGGCGUUUACCACGGAGUGAUUCAUGACUGGGGUGAAGUCGUAACAAGGUAGCCGUAGGGGAACCUGCGGCUGGAUCACCUCCUUAA